CCCUAGCGAGAGACUUUCUUACCUCUGCGCCGACCGGGGGCUCAUCUCACGAGCAAAGCGUAAUAUUUACUUUAAAUAAAUUUAUUUAUUUCUCUCAGAAUAUAAUUGUACAUAGAUUUUCAUUGUACAUACUGUGUUUUGUACUACGACAAUUGAAUUGAGUUUAUGAUACAUUAUAAAUGUAAUUUAUAUUGCCCAUUGAAAUAAGGAAUACUUUUAUAAAGUAUAAUCGGAACAUUCUUUUUAUUUCUGUGUUACAAAAAGGUGAGAUAUAAAUGUGUAAAAAUGUAAAAGAAAAUGAGGGGACAGCCAAGAUAGUUAAAUAAGAAAAGUUAACCUUGUGAAAAGUACUUAACGAAUAACUCUGAAAGAAGUGAACACAAUAUUCGUUAUUUUAAUUUUGUUUCUUUUAUAGUCCCUGUUCUAAAUACUAUGUGAAAAAACAUUGUUAUAUCAUGUAAAACUUAAAUGUGAUUUACAACAUUUCCUUCAACUAGUGGUUAAAGUAAUUAGUAAAUAAACAAUUCAAUGACUACAAUGGAAGCUAAUAAACAAGUCUUAGAUAAAAAAGAAACUGUGAUUAUACCUAUGAACUUCUCACAUGUCAACAAUUUAACUACAGAUGAGCAUAUAUAUAAUUUAUUUAACAAGCGCUUCCCACUCAUAGAUACUGAGUCUUACUCAUUACCUAAACCAGAAACAUUGUUCACGUGUCCUAUAUGGGAAGUUGAACAACUACAAAAACUAAAGAGAGAGUUGAAUAAUGUAAAGAAUUCGUUAAAUAAUUUUAACCUUAAUGAAUGGCAUUCGCAUACGCAAUAUAGAAACAGUGCAAAAAAUGUUAUGCUAUACUUAAGAAAAAAAAUUCAAGCAGAACUUCUAACUCAGGCAUGGUGUAAGUUCUAUGAAUUAGUAUCAUCUUAUCCUCUAGUACCAGUAACUCAUAUUAAUAAUAAUAAUGGACACUUUAAGUCUGUUCAUUUGUGUGAAGCACCUGGAGCAUUUGUAGCAUCCUUAAAUCAUUGGUUGAAAACAAAUGUAUCUGACAUUCAAUGGGAUUGGAUUGCUACAACAUUAAACCCAUGGUACGAAGGUUAUUCAUCGUCUGAAAUGAUUACCGAUGAUAGAUUCAUAAGGCAUACAUUAAAUCAUUGGUGCUUUGGAGAAGACAAUACUGGGAACCUUAUGAAUUUAAAAAAUUUGAAUAAGCUCUUAAAAACAACAGAACCGCAUGACAAUAUAUACUUGAUUACUGCUGAUGGCAGUACAAGCUGUGUAGAUGACCCUGGAGAACAGGAGAAUAUAGUAGCACAUUUACAUUUCUGCGAAACUGUAGCUGCCCUGCAUCUUUUAUGUACUGGGGGUAGUUUUGUAUUAAAAAUGUUCACUAUUUUUGAAUGUCAUUCAGUAUGUUUAAUUUACUUAAUUUGUUGCUGUUUUAAUAAAGUCAGCAUAGUAAAACCGGUAACAAGUAAAGAAGGAAAUUCAGAGACUUACAUAGUAUGCACAGAUUUUAAGGGGCAACCAGUUGUGAUACCAUAUUUGGAAGAGCUUACAAAAUACUAUGAAUGUCGUCCUAAAAAAGCAAUGUUCAAUUACAGUGAUAUUCCAUCUGCAUUUAUAGAAACAAUUAUAGAGUGUAAUAAGUUUUUCAAUUAUCAUCAACGUCUGGUCAUAAUGAAUAAUAUUGUUACAUUCAAAUCAGAUAAUGAUCAGAUGUUCAAUAAUAUAAAGCGAAUUCAACAUAUAGUUGCCAACAAAUAUAUCACGGAUUAUAACAUAAGAAAAUUGACAUCGGGAGAAAUUGUGGGAAAUACAAAAUUGGAAGCAUACAAUACUGUUAACGUAUGUAAAAGGCUAACACUUGGAUCUUAUAAUGAACGUUGCAAACAACAACAUUUAUCACCAUUGGAUCAAUUAAAAAUUUUGUUUAGUGAUUCCAAUAAAAUAAAAAUUGAUAUCCCUUCUAAUAGAAUUCUACAAUUCAAAUUCAUUGAAUUGCCAAAAGAUUUACAAAUUUCUUCGGGGAAAAUAUUCCAUAGAGUAUAUUCGUCAGGAUUCUGUCGUCAUGGUAUCUUAAAAAUGAAAAACCAUGUUGACGAUAUUCUUAUUAAUAUGGGAUACAAAACACAGUAUCCUUCUGCAAAAACUGUAAGCCAAUUAAAAGAACAAAUUCUUAAUAAACCGGGAUAUAAAGUUUUAGCAUUUCAAUACACAGAUGUUCAUGAUUGUCAUAAAAUAAUUGACAAAAUUUAUGAUACAAUGCAAAACCUUAAUACUGGAGACACUUUAAUAUUAAUUGGUUAUUCAUUGCUUACCCAUCUUAAUGUUGGACUUCUUUAUCUAAUAAGUUGUGCUUUUAAUUCAAUCACUCUAAAAUUUUGUAAUAACAUUGGUUCAAAAAUUACAUUGGAACACUACAAUUAUAAUAUGAAGAUACUAAAGUGCUUAAUUGAUGUUAAAGCUGCUUCUUCUAAUAUUCAAGGAACAGAAAAUGCUAUUUUACAUAUUUUUCCUGCAAUAUUUUUAUAUGACUGUGAUCUGUUCUAUCCAAUAUCGAAUAUUAAUCAUUGGGUUAUAAAAUCAUACAUUCAUUAUGUUUCCACUAUGGUACAAGAAAAUAGUGGAAUUAAAGAGGAAAAGUAAUACAUGAUAUUUCUAUAACAUGUAAACAACUAUUGUUGUACCAAUAUUUUUGGUCGAUGUAAAUUACUGUCAUGAAAGUUGGUAUAAUUAGUAGCUAUAUUCGUCUAUUUUCAACUGAACAUGUACCAAAAGUAUGUAUUGUUGGUGCGGGUCCUGCAGGAUUUUAUGCUGCGCAACAAUUAUUAAAG